GCCACGUUUAUGUAAACUGAACACACAUACCAACAAAUAUAAAGUAUUGUGCAUCUUCUACUAGAAACUACGAUAGUAUGAAAAGAAAUAAGAAAUUCAAAUGUUGAAAUAAUAUAUCCAAAACAAUAGCAAAAUAUCCAAAAUUAUGUCAAUAUUUCGUGGAGAGAACUUCUAUUGAAACACUCUCCAUGACAAAUUUUUGGAUAACAUAUCCAAACAUUUCCGUGUCCUCGUCCACUCUAGAUUCUCUCUUCCAUUUGCAUCACCAAGUUACACAAUACUCUGAAUUCGUCUAGACUGCACGUAAAUCCAACAAUAAUGUAUUCAAUAAAGAGUCACAAGAAACAAGAUAGCAAUCUAUCUUCUACAUGGAAAACAAGUUUCAACAUUUUAUCGCAUGAGUUUCCAUCCCAACAUCCUACAACUUACAAUCCCAUAAAGUCAAUGAGAAGAAAUGAGAAGUUCAAUGGUUCUUAUGCAUAAGAAGCAAGCUGUAAUUUCACAAGUUCUAUCUUUUCCAACAAACAAUCAUAAAUAAAACAAUAACAUAGCUAUGGCAUGAAAAUUGAAACAAAACAUUAUGAGAAGUUCGGAAUCAUGGCAUGAAAUUGAAACAAAAUAUCUUAUAAAAUUCAGAAAUAAACAAACAAAGAGAAUUAAAAUAACCAUGGUACGAACAUUGAAAGAGCAUAUCCCAACACAAAUACCAAGAGACUUACAAAUGCUAUAAGUAUCAAUGCCAUUUAAUAUAUUUUACGUAUACCAUGGGGCUCACAAAAUUCCACAGCCCAAUGAAAAAAGCAACACUAGUUUUAUGGUAUAUGAACACUACUACUAUAUCCGACAAUGAAAAAGAGGGCAAUCGUCGUAGAUCUAACCUGCAACUUCUUCUGGUGAAAGAAUAGGUUUCAACAAGCUCUCUGUUUCCACUGUCUGUCAAAGUAAGACAAUGAAGGAGAAUUAGCAUUCAAAAACUAUUUUCAAGAACAACGAAUAUGAGAACUGCAGAUGCCUAAACUGAGCACAAAUUCUACAAUACAAAAGGCAGACAAAAGGUUAAAGUAGACCAAUCAAAAUAAAUCAAUUGAAUUUCAGCACCAUACAUAAGUAAUUAUACCUCACAUUACCUAUUGCCAAUAUACGUAACUAAUGAGAUACUCGAACUCCUCUCUAGGUUACGAGUCAUCAGGAAGUUCUAUUUUUUUUUUAAAAUUCUAAUGAAUUAUAUCUAUGCUUUUUGUAGUUUCUACUUCUAUAACUUGGCAUCCUCACAUUAAUGUUCAAGCUUUCUAUCAUUUGAAUGAUUAGAGAGUUUCUAACUUGUUUGUGCACCUUGAGAUAAAAUUAGCAGAAGGUUCACUCCUGUGUAAAGAAACAAAUAUAUAGGAAUUAAUUAAAUGCAUUAUUCACUUUAGAACAAAAGACAACAGAAAAUUGAACAACAUAAUAUCAUGAAAUGUACAUAAUUGUUUCUUUGUGGUAUAUGAACACUACUCGAGGCAACAAAAAAUUUAAUAAAAUUUUCAAUUAAAUCACAAUCAAAUUAUAUCAAAAUAAAUUAAGAGAAACAAAUAAGGUAUUCGUACUAGUACUCUGUUAUAGGCUUAUAGCACCUAACAUAUUGAAUUAAAAAUAUCAGAUUUUCAAUCACAAUCGUGGGAAUAAGAAGAGUAAUAAAAGCCCAUCGAAGUAUAUACUACCUCACUUGUGCCGUCGAAUAUAUGAUGUACUUGAUGGCUGAAAAGAAGAAGAAGAAGAAGAGCCGUCAAAAAACUAAUAGAUUGAAUUCAAAAUAUCUGAAUUUUUAUAGAGCAAAAAAAAAAAACAGAAUAGUAAGUGUCUUACAUUACAGGUGCAAAGAAAUCCUCUGGUGUGGCCAAGAAUUCCGCCGAUGAACCUGAAACAAUUAAAAUUUCAUCAACAAAAAAGCAUAUGCACAGUUAAUAUGUGCUUGUGUGCGUGAUUUUAACGAAGAAAAGUGGAUGGCUUCUUGCUUUGCUUCUUAAAAAUUUAACGAUGCGAUUAGGAGGAAGAAAGGAAUAAGAUAAUGAUAAUGGGUGAAAUACGCAUAAGAAUUAGGGGUUUUUCAAUUUCUAAGUUUUUGAUAACCGCGAAGGCGCCAACUAUCAUUUUUUGCUGGUCGAAAUAAAUAUUUCAACAAUUAUCUCCCCCACUAUCUUCAAACUAGCAAUUUAAAAAAAGAAUAACAAAUUAAACACUCUAAAUUAACCUCAAAAAAAAAAAAAAACAAAAAAAAAACAACUAACUUAAAAUUACAAAUAGCGGCGCAAUGGAAAGAGGGACAGAUUGGGGGUGGUGGCGUUAUUAACCUGGGAAGACUUUUUUGACCUGGGAAGAUUAGAG
rnacentral:lncRNA from 1 species